rnacentral:rRNA from 1 species
AUUGAACGCUGGCGGCAUGCCUUACACAUGCAAGUCGAACGGCAGCACGGGAGCAAUCCUGGUGGCGAGUGGCGAACGGGUGAGUAAUAUAUCGGAACGUGCCCAGUCGUGGGGAUAACGUAGCGAAAGCUACGCUAAUACCGCAUACGAUCUAUGGAUGAAAGCGGGGGAUCGCAAGACCUCGCGCGAUUGGAGCGGCCGAUAUCAGAUUAGGUAGUUGGUGAGGUAAAGGCUCACCAAGCCGACGAUCUGUAGCUGGUCUGAGAGGACGACCAGCCACACUGGGACUGAGACACGGGCCCAGACUCCUACGGGAGGCAGCAGUGGGGAAUUUUGGACAAUGGGCGCAAGCCUGAUCCAGCAAUGCCGCGUGCAGGAUGAAGGCCUU